rnacentral:rRNA from 1 species
UACGAAGGGUGCAAACGUUGCUCGGAAUUACUGGGCGUAAAGGGCGCGUAGGCGGCCUGUUAAGUCGAACGUGAAAUCCCUGGGCUCAACCCAGGAACUGCGUCCGAUACUGGCAGGCUUGAAUCCGGGAGAGGGAUGUGGAAUUCCAGGUGUAGCGGUGAAAUGCGUAGAUAUCAGGAGGAACACCGGUGGCGAAGGCGGGUCUCUGGGCAGUAACUGACGCUGAGGAGCGAAAGCGUGGGGAGCGAACAGG